CUACGUGCCAGCAGCCGCGGUAAUACGGAGGGUGCGAGCGUUAAUCGGAAUAACUGGGCGUAAAGGGCACGCAGGCGGCUAUUUAAGUGAGGUGUGAAAUCCCCGGGCUUAACCUGGGAAUUGCAUUUCAGACUGGGUAGCUAGAGUACUUUAGGGAGGGGUAGAAUUCCACGUGUAGCGGUGAAAUGCGUAGAGAUGUGGAGGAAUACCGAAGGCGAAGGCAGCCCCUUGGGAAUGUACUGACGCUCAUGUGCGAAAGCGUGGGGAGCAAACAGGAUUAGAUACCCUGGUAGUCCACGCUGUAAACGCUGUCGAUUUGGGGAUUGGGCCUUGAGCUUGGUGCCCGAAGCUAACGUGAUAAAUCGACCGCCUGGGGAGUACGGCCGCAAGGUUAAAACUCAAAUGAAUUGACGGGGGCCCGCACAAGCGGUGGAGCAUGUGGUUUAAUUCGAUGCAACGCGAAGAACCUUACCUACUCCUGACAUCCAU
rnacentral:rRNA from 1 species